rnacentral:rRNA from 1 species
GACGAACGCUGGCGGCGUGCCUAAUACAUGCAAGUAGAACGCACAGUUUAUACCGUAGCUUGCUACACCAUAGACUGUGAGUUGCGAACGGGUGAGUAACGCGUAGGUAACCUGCCUGGUAGCGGGGGAUAACUAUUGGAAACGAUAGCUAAUACCGCAUAAUAUUAAUUAUUGCAUGAUAAUUGAUUGAAAGAUGCAACUGCAUCACUACCAGAUGGACCUGCGUUGUAUUAGCUAGUAGGUGAGGUAACGGCUCACCUAGGCGACGAUACAUAGCCGACCUGAGAGGGUGAUCGGCCAAACUGGGACUGGAACACGGCCCAGACUCCUGCGGGAGGCAGCAGUAGGGGAUCUUCGGCAAUGGACGCAAGUCUGACCGAGCAACGCCGCGUGAGUGAAGAAGGUUUUCGGGUCGUAAAGCUCUGUUGUAAGAGAAGAACGGGUGUGAGAGUGGAAAGUUCACACUGUGACGGUAUCUUACCAGAAAGGGACGGCUAACUACGUG